rnacentral:rRNA from 1 species
AACGAACGCUGGCGGCGUGGAUAAGACAUGCAAGUCGAACGCUAAUACUCAGGUAGCAAUAUUUGAGUGUUGGAGUGGCGCAAGGGUGUGUAACACGUGGGCAAUCUGCCGUAAAGUCUGGGAUAACUCGCUGAAAAGGCGAGCUAAUACCGGAUGUGAUCGAGAGAUCAAAGUUGGGGACCGCAAGGCCUGACGCUUUACGAUGAGCCCGCGGCCUAUCAGCUAGUUGGUGAGGUAACGGCUCACCAAGGCUAAGACGGGUAGCUGGUCUGAGAGGACGACCAGCCACACUGGAACUGAGACACGGUCCAGACACCUACGGGUGGCAGCAGUCGAGAAUUUUUCUCAAUGGGCGAAAGCCUGAAGGAGCGACGCCGCGUGGGGGAUGAA